rnacentral:rRNA from 1 species
GACAGAGGUGCCGAGCGUUAGGCGGAAUCACUGGGCUUAAAGCGUGUGUAGGCGGAUCUGUAAGUACCUUGUGAAAUCCCACGGCUCAACCGUGGAACUGCUUGGUAUACUGCGGGUCUUGAGCCACCUAGGGGCAAGUGGAACAAGCGGUGGAGCGGUGAAAUGCGUAGAUAUCGCAGGGAACGCCAAUGGUGAAAACAACUUGCUGGGGGUGUGCUGACGCUGAGACACGAAAGCCAGGGGAGCAAACGGG